UUUCUCCAAACUGUGGCUAUUGUAUAGCCAUUGAAACUUGUAGACACGUCUUCUUUGAUUGUCCAAGAUUUAUGAGGAUUUGAUUUUCUUUCCUUUCUCUUUAAGGUCUUCCUUUGUUCAAGGGAGUUCCUUUAAGGAUUGCUGGUAGAACCUCCUUACAACCUUACCAGAUAACAGAAGCAACAAAGAGGACGUUCAACUCAUCGUUAUAUUAAUGUGGAAUAUCUGGAAGAGUUGAAACUGUCUUCUUUUUAGGAGGAAUUUGUGAAGUGAGGAUUUUAUCAUUGCUUCAGCCACUUCCAUGCAAAGUGAUUUUAAUAGCAACAACCGAAUUGAGCCUUCUUUGUCAAAUCAAGGAAGUGCUGAAUCUUCCUUUUGGCAAGUACCGCCUAUCAAUUUUCUUAAAGCUAACUUUGAUGCGGCUGUGGAUUCAAUUAAUUAUAAGGAAACCUUUGCAGUGGUCAUUAGGAAUCGUUGGGGCAUGAUCGUAGAUUGAAGGUGUGGAAUUAUUCAUUAUAUCUCUGAUUCCUUGCAUUUUGAAAGUUUGGCAUGUAGGAAAGCUCCUCCUCCUUAUCAAGAACAGAGGCUUAAGGCGCAUCCAGUUUGAGAGUGAUUGCAAGAAUCUUAUCUCAAGUCUCCUAAGGAACCCUGCUCCUAUUAACAUCAAUAUGGUGAUUAAGGAUAUUUAGGAGUUAAGCAAAACUGUUGAUUCUAUUUAUUUUCUAUUUAUAAAACGUUUAUGUAAUAGUUUUGCUCAUAACUUGUCACAGAAAACCCUUCGCUCCCCUUCGUUUCCAGAAAUCAUAUAAAUC
rnacentral:lncRNA from 1 species